rnacentral:rRNA from 1 species
GUAGGUGGCAAGCGUUGUCCGGAAUUAUUGGGCGUAAAUCGCGCGCAGGCGGUUUUUUAAGUCUGAUGUGAAAGCCCACGGCUCAACCGUGGAGGGUCAUUGGAAACUGGAGAACUUGAGUACAGAAGAGGAAAGCGGAAUUCCACGUGUAGCGGUGAAAUGCGUAGAGAUGUGGAGGAACACCAGUGGCGAAGGCGGCUUUCUGGUCUGUAACUGACGCUGAGGCGCGAAAGCGUGGGGAGCAAACAGGGAUUAGAUACCCUGGUAGUCCACGCCGUAAACGAUGAGUGCUAAGUGUUAGGGGGUUUCCGCCCCCUUAGUGCUGCAGCUAACGCAUUAAGCACUCCGCCUGGGGAUACGGCCGCAAGGCUG